GAGCCCAGUGUAUGACCUUGCUCCUCAUUGACUGGGGCACAUAAAACUUGCCUGGAGGUCUGUUACCAGGACCGGGGUCCGCCUUGAGGGCCUUCAAUACUUGGUCCCUGACUUCCCAUGUAACCUCUUCCAUAACACAUGCCGGGGGUAGAAUCGUGGAGGGUUCUGCGUCCUGAUCAGGGGAAUACUGUCUGGAGAGAUCGUCGGGCUUGGUGUUUUUGGAACCUGGACGAUAGGAAAUUUGGAAGUUAAACCGGGAAAAGAAAAGGGACCACCUGUAUUGACGUGGAUUGAGCCGUUGUGCCUCCUUUAGGUAAACCAAUUUCUUGUGGUCAGUCCAAAUGAUGAAUGGCCUAUCAGCGCCCUCCAACCAAUGCCUCCACUCCUCGACGGCAAGUUUUACAGCCAGCAGUUCGCGGUCCCCAACGUCGUAUCUGCUCUCAGCAGGUGUCAAACAACGCCAAAAGAAAGCAUAUGGAUGGAUGCGUUGAUCCGCCAGCGAGACCUGGGACAGCACAGCUCCCACCCCGGUGUCCGAGGCAUCCAUCUCAAGGGUGAAUUGACACAGCGGGUCUGGUCGGUGAAGCAUGGGAGCAUUGGUGAAUUUCUUCUUCAGGGUCUGGAAAGCUGUGUCUGCUUCUGGGUACCAAACAAAUGGUUUGUUAACAGAGGUCAGGUUGGUUAACGGGGCGGCGGUCUGGCUGUAAUUCCUGAUGAACCUUCGAUAAAAAUUAGCAAACCCCAAGAACCUCUGUAAAUGUUUCAGUGUGGACGGUGUGGGUCACUCCGUGACUGCUUGCACCUUCUCUGGAUCCGCCUUCAAACGCCCGCUCUCAUUGAUGAACCCCAAGAACUUAACAGUGGGGACCUGAAAAACACAUUUUUCGGCCUUGACGUACAGCCUGUUCUCUAACAGGCACUGAAAUACAGCUCUUACACGAUGGGUGUGUUGUUCCUUGGUUUUAGAAAAAAUCUAAAUGACGUCCAAAUACACUGUCACAAACGUGUUAAUGUAUUCACCCAACAUGGAGUUCUCUAAAGACUGAAACACUGCGGGUGCAUUGGUUAAUCCAAACGGCAUUACAAGGUACUCGAAAUGACCAAGGGGUAUCUUGAACGCCGUUUUCCACUUAUCCCCCUCUCUGAUUCUCACCAGAUGAUAGGCGUUCCUGAGGUCCAACCGGCUGAAUAUGGAGGCGUCCUGAAUAGGCUCAAAAGUGGAGGACAGUAACAGCAGAGGAUACUUAUUCUUCACUGUAAUCUGGUUAAAACCACUGUAAUUGAUGCAGGGCAUGAGUGACCCAUCCUUCUUGUGUUCAAAGAAAAACCCAGGUCCCAGAGGGGAAGAGGUCGGUCGUACGGUUCCAGCGGCCAAGCAGUCUUGGAUGUAAAGCUCCAUGCUUUCUCUCUCCGGCUUGGAGAGGUGAUAAAUAUGGCUGGACGGAAGGGGGAACCUGGCAAUAGAUCAAUCACACAGUCGAAGGGCCUGUGAGGAGUUACACCGCAAAGAAAGCUGCUUCCUUUGGAAUUGAGAAAAAGGCUUGACCAACACACGCCACGCUUGAUGGAUCUCUUUCGGUGCAAAGGAGGGACACUUGGAAAGAAAAUAAGAGGUCACAUGCUUGCCAUCUCUAAGCAUGACAACAUACACACCAGACGAGCAUGCAUCUUGAAGUCCUUGUGCACCUACCUAAACGAGGACAAUGAGAAGUUAAUAAAGGAGUACAUGGUGCUCCAGCUGCCUCAUGGGUCCUUUUGACAUUUACCUUGGAUUGGGCGUCUGUGAAUGUGAGAAGUUUUUUAUUUUUUAUGUAUUGUGAUUCCCCUAAAAGCUGAGCUGGAAGGAAGAGUAGUUCCCCUCAUGCAGCUUCUCAUCACUGUUCAGGAAAAACACCCAAGCUUCCCACUUUUGUAAGAAAAUAAAAUGUGUUUGAAUAAGUCCUCCAAGUCACUGUUACUUCCUUAUCAUGAAUGAAUGUUUCAUAUUCCUCAUACAUGCAUAAUUAGUUUGGUCUCCAGUCAGCCUGGAUGACCGAGUCAUUAACACUUCACAUGAUCAACAUCGUUUGAGAUGCAGGCAGUGGUCUGCAGAUCUAAGAGCAGGGUACAAUUAAUAUGCCACUGUUGUCUGGAAGACAAAGAAAGGCACGCUGACUUUAGCAUUUUGAUUUAGAAUGUUUCUACAAACAAAAGCCCAGAUUAUGUGCACAAACUCUUGAUAUAGUUAGGAGGAGACCUGCUCCCAAGUUACUAAACAGAACUAUCAUAUUGUCAAAAAUAAAUAAAUAAUAAAUAAAAUAAAAUAAAAAAAGCAGAAAGGGAGAGUCGAAAAGAUCUAUUUUGUAAAUGUUAGAAUAAUAGAGCUGUGAAAGUCUUGGAUUUCCGAGGUCUAAGUUGUUGUCAUGCUAAUUAUACUUUUACAAGCUGAUAAAUAUCAAAGUACAUGGCUGGCGUGGUCAUAACACACAUCAAUAGUUUUCAUUUAAAUUGCAGUACAACAUAUGCAGUUGGUUCGCUGGAGUUUUUGACAAUUAAAAAUGCGCCCACAUUUUCAAAGUUAAACACAUCUCUUUUAACAGUAGUUUCUGCAUCUUUACCGUUCCCCUGCUUCAGCCAUCUCCCCCCUCCCCCUGCGCAGCGGCCGCAAACUCAAGGAUGUGCCUGCAGCCUCUCAGAGUUGCUGCUCUAAACAUUAAAAUAAUUAUUUCAUUUUCUGUUCCUCACUUCUUACCUUCAAUGGUGUCUGUUUGUUGCAACCACCAGGUACAAAAACUAACUUGUUUUUAUUUGACUAUUUUCCCGUCAUGUCUGUUUAUCAUCUUCCUGCAUCUCCCCUCAAUCCUAAAGAAGAACUGCUACCUGGCUUCAUAAAUAUUCACCUUAUGAGUUACCUUUGAACUGCAGCUCUAAAAGAUCUACUGUCCGCAAAAACAGCGGAGUGUGUGCCGGCCGCACCGGUGAGGUGAAGUCACCAGAGGACAAAACAGGUGAUGCGCUCCGCUCCACAGCAGUGAAAAGCACCAGGCACAAAUAAAAGACAGAAAACAUAAAAGGAAAUGAGCCGACAUGAACGAUCGUGUGUUAAAUUUGUUUUUGAGGUGGCAACACCUAAUUUGAUAAUGUUACUGUGGCCGUGCUCAGUACGCAGAUGUCUGGAGCGCGU